CCUACGGGUGGCUGCAGUAAGGAAUCUUGGUCAAUGGACGCAAGUCUGAACCAGCCAUGCCGCGUGGAGGAUGAAGGUCCUCUGGAUUGUAAACUUCUUUUAUUUGGGAAGAAACUCCCGAUUUCCAUCGGGAUUGACGGUACCAGAUGAAUAAGCACCGGCUACCUCCGUGCCAGCAGCCGCGGUACUACGGAGGGUGCGAGCGUACUCCGGAUUCACGGGGCUUAGGUGGGGCGGUAAGUCAGUGGUGAAAUCUCCGGGCUUAACCCGGAAACUGCCAUUGAUACUAUUUGUCUUGAAUACUCUGGAGGUGAGCGGAAUAUGUCAUGUAGCGGUGAAAUGCUUAGAUAUGACAUAGAACACCCAUUGCGAAGGCAGCUCACUACGGAAAUAUUGACGCUGAGGCACGAAAGCGUGGGGAUCAAACAGGAUUAGAUACCCUGGUAGUC
rnacentral:rRNA from 1 species